ACAAACUUUCUUAAAUGCAAGACAUCCAGAAGGAAAAUAAGUGAUCCUUAGACGUCGCAAGUAUUCGAGGGAGCCAUUGAAAUGAAGUUAGCCUAUAUGCUACUAAAUCAAUCUUCUCCCGCGUUCCCAGAUUCGUGUUGACACUGGCCCACAACCGAUGAGCAUGCAUCGAUCUGAGAAGAUAGAUGAUUGGAGAUCAUCAUAAUCAUCAGGACACUGUAACCAUGGUAACCGGCCAGCUGAAAAAGGUGAAAGAAUUUUCCUCAUCCAAUGACUCUUCACCCUGAGUGACCCGACCCAGUAGACAUCAUACACCACUCUUCAAUCGCAGCUUUGAUCAUCGAGCAGUCACUGCAAUGUGCAGCCUGUGAAGCAAGCCAAGGUUAUGUCCUUUCUGUAUGGUUAUAUGAAAUUUAUAAGAAAUUACGAAUUUUAUAAAUUAUUUCAUUACAUUAUUUACACUUAUAUUAGUUGUAAGAUCUAAGGGAAUGAUAUCAGUUACAUAAGCAUUGCUUUGGGAAUUCUGGA